AUGAGGUUUGUGCCUGUCACUGGUUGUAUCAUUGGUAACCCUUGUCCCCAUUUGAAACUCAUCUGCAUCUGUGACUCUUCCUGUGGUCGUGAGGGGAACAUGUCCUCAUGUCCUGCCAGAGUUGUCAUUGGUAACGUCACAACAUCACAGACUCCUGUGGAGUCUGGGGGAGACGUGGUGAAGCCUGGAGGGUCCCUGAGACUCUCCUGUGCAGCCUCUGGAUUCACCUUCAGUAGUAAUGGCAUGAGCUUGGUCCGCCAGGCUCCAGGGAAGGGGCUGCAGUGGGUCACAGUUAUUAGCUAUGAUGGAAGUAGCACAGGCUAUGCAGACUCUGUGAAGGGCCGAUUCACCAUCUCCAGAGACAAUGGCAAGAACACGCUUUAUCUGCAGAUGAACAGCCUGAGAGCCGAGGACACGGCCGUGUUUUACUGUGCGAGAGACACAAUGAGGGGACAUCAGUGUGAGCCCAGACAGAAACCUCCCUGUAGAAGGGGAUCUGGACCACCAGGGGGUGCACACUACUCACCAUUUUGUCUUUAA